GACGAACCGUGCGAACGUUAUUCGGAAUCACUGGGCUUAAAGGGUGCGUAGGCGGGUUGCCAAGUCUGUGGUGAAAUCCUCCGGCUUAACCGGAGAACUGCCGUGGAUACUGGCGACCUCGAGGGGUGUAGGGGCUUGCGGAACUGUGCGUGGAGCGGUGAAAUGCGUUGAUAUCGGAAGGAACGCCGGUGGCGAAAGCGACGUGCUGGCCCUCUUCUGACGCUGAGGCGCGAAAGCCAGGGGAGCAAACGGG
rnacentral:rRNA from 1 species